rnacentral:tRNA from 1 species
GGCGGGAUAGUUUAACGGUAGGAACACUGCGAUUCCAGCAGAGGUAAAGGUUCGACUCCUUUGACUGCCA